UGAUACAAACUGCACAAAAAUCUUUGCUAUGUGAAACCAUAACAUUACAUACAUACAAGUCAUAUCUAAAUAGGCCUGGACCAUUCUUUCUAUGCCGCAAUUCAAAGCUUGGAUUAUCUUAACAAGCAGUGUCCACAUAUUUGAUUAAAUGAAACAUCAAGUUGUAGCCAUGUCAUGAAACAGUCUUACUCUCAGAAAGCAGACUGGGAUUAUACAAGGCAUUUUCUCUCACCUGAUUGAUUAAAGACUCAAUCAUUGCAAUACAGCUAUGAUCCUUGCCCAAUAUUUUCAGGUUGCCCAAGUUGAGAUCUUCUAACCAAUAAUUUUUUGGGUACAUAAAACAGUUGUUUGCAACUUUGCCAAGUAAAAACUGGCUGAAACUAUUAUAUUGAUACCAUCAGAAAAUCUAGGACAAUUUAGAAGGAAAGUUAAGUUUUAACAAACUGAGAAGCAACUUUUGGCACCUAACAAAAGGUGGCAUGACCUAUCACAAAAUUGAUUAUCUCACAUAUCAUAAGAUUCCUUAUACCAUUAAAAAAAAAAAAAAUCUUAACACAACUGAUUGA